rnacentral:lncRNA from 13 species
AUGUCUGAGAUGCCCGCUGUGGGUGAGUGCCCCCUCCCUCCCUGGCUCUGCUCCUCCCCGGCUCUGCUCCUCCCCCUCCCCGGAACUGCCACCCCCUCAGCCCUGAGCUGCGAUGCCCUCGGGGUUCUGUUUUCAUUCCAUGCUGUGGAUCCGGUCGUGGGAAGCAGGCUCCAGCCUUCACCAGCAGGGACUCAACAAACAAGCAUGUGUCUCAUGAGUCAUGGGACCAGAAGCUUAGAAGAAGACAUGCAGAGCCAACCACGGACAAAACUGGCAAAUGAAAUAAAUGCCCAGAAACAUGCUCUGUCCCCUGCAUUCCUUAAGUGUUAUAAAUUGCACCACGUUUCACCAGUUUUUCAGAAACUAAAAGUCAUCCUUGACAUCCGUCUAAUCAGUCACCUCCUAUUUAUCUCCCAAAUUCACUCUUAUAAUCUUGCCACCCCCAUGACAACUGCGCUCAUGGACUCUGGGCAUGCCUCACCCAGAUUACAGAAAUUCCCUCCUAGCUGGUAAACCUGUUUGUGUGUGGCUCCCCUUCAUUCCAUCCUCCCUGGUUAGCCAGGGAAAUAAUUCUAAAAUAUACACAUCCCAAAGCAUCUUACUUUCCUGCAUGCAAUUUUUCAUCAUCCAUUCACUACUUGGAGGGAAACAUCUGAAUUUAUUUAUUUUUGAGACAGAGUCUCGCUCUGUCGCCCAGGCUGGAGUGCAGUGGCGCACUCUCGGCUCACUGCAACCUCUGCGUCCCGGGUUCAAGCAAUUCUCCUGCCUCAGUCUCCAGAGUAGCUGGAAUUACAAGGCACACAGCACCAUGCCUGGCUAAUUUUUUUCAUAUUUUUAGCAGAGACUGGGUUUCACUUGUUGGUCAGGCUGGUCUCUAAACUCCUGACCUCGUGAUCUACCGGCCUCGGCCUCCCAAAGUGAUGGGAUUACAGGCCCUAGCCACCUCACCCAGCCAACAGCUGAAUUUAUUAGUGAGCAUACAAAGCCUUUUCAUCCGCUGUACCCAGCCCAUUUGCUAGCAUUUCCCUGGUCUCCAGUUAGAACUAGUGACCGUCCCAUAAACAGGUUCUGCUG